rnacentral:rRNA from 1 species
AUACGUAGGUGGCAAGCGUUGUCCGGAAUUAUUGGGCGUAAAGCGCAUGUAGGCGGUUUGGUAAGUCGGUCGUGAAAAUGCGGUGCUUAACGCCGUAUGGCGAUUGAAACUGCUGAACUUGAGUGCAGGAGAGGAGAGGGGAACUCCCAGUGUAGCGGCGAAAUGCGUAGAUAUUGGGAAGAACACCGCUGGCGAAGGCGCCUUUCUGGACUGUGUCUGACGCUCAGAUGCGAAAGCCAGGGUAGCGAACGGGAUUAGAUACCCCGGUAGUCCUGGCUGUAAACGAUGGGUACUAGGUGUGGGAGGUAUCGACUCCUUCCGUGCCGGAGUUAACGCAAUAAGUACCCCGCCUGGGGAGUACGGCCGCAAGGCUUAAACUCAAAUGAAUUGACGGGG